AUGUCAUCAUGCACCGGCUGCCCCUCCUCCACCUUUGAUCAUGUUGUCAACUCGGAUGGAGCACUUGAGUUCCCGUUGUUUCACAAGGACCAUCCAUGCGUCCAGCAACACUACCUCGGCCACCGGAGGUCAGCUGGAAACAUCGUUCAGAAGGACGUUCCGCUGCCGAUUGACCUGAUACGGAAUUACAGUAUAAACAACUUCCUCUUUCUGAUGCCCAUCAAGCUGGGCACGCCACCGGUCUGGAAUCUCGUGGCAGUUGAUACUGGAGCCUCACUUUCAUUUGUUCAGUGCCAACCAUGCACUCUCCGGUGCCACAAGCAAUCAGAUGCUGGGGAAAUAUUCGACCCCAGCAAGUCAUCGAGUUUGACGCGUGUUAGGUGCUCGGAAAAAUUCUGCGACCUGAUCCACCGGGCGCUACGUCUUCAAACCAAAGCAUGCUUGGAAACCAUGACGUUCGGAGGAUCAUCUACAUAUUCCACCGGCAAGCUGGUGAGAGACAGGCUCGCAAUCGGCCAGUAUGCCAAGGGAUACAGCUUCCCUAGUUUCCUCUUCGGCUGCAGCUUGGACACAGAGUACAACCAGUAUGAAGCUGGCAUAUUGGGAUUCGCUGACGAGCCAUUCUCCUUCUUUGAACAAGUAGCACCACUGGUCGGCUACAAGGCCUUUAGCUACUGCUUUCCAAGUGACAAAAGGCAGGCUACUUGUCCAUCGGGAAUUAUAGUCGUGUCAGCUCCGCUUCCUAUACUCCCUUGUUCCUGGCUUUUCGACGAUCAACGUAUGCACUGA
rnacentral:rRNA from 1 species